GAUGAAGAACGCAGCGAAAUGCGAUAAGUAGUGUGAAUUGCAGAAUUCAGUGAAUCAUCGAAUCUUUGAACGCACAUUGCGCCCCUUGGUAUCCCGAGGGGCAUGCCUGUUCGAGCGUCAUUUCACCACUCAAGCCUGGCUUGGUGUUGGGCGACGUCCUCUUUGGGGACGCGCCUCGAAACGCUCGGCGGCGUGGCACCGGCUUUAAGCGUAGCAGAAUCUUUCGCUUUGGAAGUCGGGGCCCCGUCUGCCGGAAGACCUGCUCGCAAGGUUGACCUCGGAUCAGGCAGGGAUACCCGCUGAACUUAAGCAUAUCAAUAAGCGGAG
rnacentral:misc_RNA from 1 species